rnacentral:rRNA from 1 species
CCGGAUGCGGAUCUCGAAAGCCUGUCCCAGUUCGGACUGGAGUCUGCAACCCGACUCCACGAAGUUGGAUUCGCUAGUAAUCGCGCAUCAGCCAUGGCGCGGUGAAUACGUUCCCGGGCCUUGUACACACCGCCCGUCAAGCCAUGGGAGCCGGUAAUACCCGAAGUCCGUAGCCUAACCGCAAGGAGGGCGCGGCCGAAGGUAGGACUGGUAAUUAGGGUGAAGUCGUAACAAGGUAGC